rnacentral:rRNA from 1 species
GGUCUAUCUCAGCUUAGCCAUGCAGUCUCAGUACAGACUGAAAUAAAGUGAAACCGCAAAAGGCUCAGUAAACCAGUCAUGAUUCACUGGAGUAAACCUUGACUGUGUCUUGGAUAACUGUGGUAAUUCUAGAGCUAAUACAUGUAACCAAAGUCUCCGACCGGUAACGGCGGGGACGCUUUUAUUAGGAUCAAGACCAUUCGCUUCGGCGUUUACUUGAUGACUCAGAAUAACACAUCAGAUCGCGUCGGUCUUUGUACCGGCGACUUAUCUUUCAAAUGCCUGACUUAUCAACUGACGAUGGUAGACUCUGCGUCUACCAUGGUCGUUACGGGUAACGGGGAAUCAGGGUUCGAUUCCGGAGAGGGAGCCUGAGAAACGGCUACCACAUCCAAGGAAGGCAGCAGGCACGCAAAUUACCCACUCCCGGCACGGGGAGGUAGUGACAAAAAAUAACGAUACGGGACUCUUUUAGAGGCCCCGUAAUCGGAAUGAAUACACUUUAAAACCUUGUUUAAAGGUCAAUCGGAGGGAAAGUCUGGUGCCAGCAGCCGCGGUAACCCCAGCUCCGAUAGCGUAUAUUAAAAUUGUUGCGGUUAAAAAGCUCGUAGUUGGUUCUGCGUACCACGCUGUCGGUACACCGCCUGUCGGUGACACUGGCAUGUCGUGGUAUGUCCUGUCGGUGGCGGCCGUCUAAGCCACGCGGAAAGCGGCACCGGGUAAUGCCGAGUCGUGUUCAUUCCGCGAGGCCCAAGCGCGGUCGCCGACUCCUAUCCUACCGCGGUGCUCUUAAUUGAGUGUCGAGGUAGGCCGACACGUUUACUUUGAACAAAUUAGAGUGCUUAAAGCAGGCUAAAAUUUCUGCCUGAAUAGUGGUGCAUGGAAUAAUGGAACAGGCCCUUGGUCCUAUUCUGUUGGUCUCCGGGACACAAGGUAAUGAUCAAUAUGGACAGUGCGGGGGCAUUCGUAUUGCGGCGUUAGAGGUGAAAUUCUUGGAUCGUCGCAAGACGCACUAGAGCGAAAGCAUUUGCCAAGUAUGUCUUAAUGAUCAAGAACGAAAGUUAGAGGUUCGAAGGCGAUCAGAUACCGCCCUAGUUCUAACCAUAAACGAUGCCAGCCAGCGAUCCGCCGAUGUUCCUCCGAUGACUCGGCGGGGAGCUUCCCCCGGGAAACCAAAGCGUUUGGGUUCCGGGGGAAGUAUGGUUGCAAAGCUGAAACUUAAAGGAAUUGACGGAAGGGCACCACCAGGAGUGGAGCCUGCGGCUUAAUUUGACUCAACACGGGAAACCUCACCAGGUCAGGACAUUGGAAUGAUUGACAGAUUGAUAGCUCUUUCUUGAUUCAGUGGGUAGUGGUGCAUGGCCGUUCUUAGUUGGUGGAUCGAUUUGUCUGGUUAAUUCCGAUAACGAACGAGACUCUAGCCUAUUAACUAGACGUUUCCGGUAUCGUAGCUACCGGCGAAAAGUUCUCUUCUUAGGGGGACAGGCGGCUUUUAGCCGCACGAGAUUGAGCAAUAACAGGUCUGUAAUGCCCUUAGAUGUCCUGGGCCGCACGCGCGCUACACUGAAGGAAUCAGCGUGUGUCUUCCCUUGGCCGAAAGGUCCGGGUAACCCGCUGAACCUCCUUCGUGCUAGGAAUUGGGGCUUGCAAUUGUUCCCCAUGAACGAGGAAUUCCCAGUAAGCGCGAGUCAUAAGCUGGCGUUGAUUACGUCCCUGCCCUUUGUACACACCGCCCGUCGCUGCUACCGAUUGAAUGGUUUAGUGAGGUCUUCGGACCGGCGGUAAGCGGGACCGUCUUCGUGUCGGUCUUGCCGAACGCUAGAAAGAUGACCAAACUUGAGCAUUUAGAGGAAGCAAAAGUCGUAACAAGGUUUCCGUAGGUGAACCUGCAGAAAGGAUCA